AAGGGUAUAGCUCAGUGGUAGAGUGCGUGCUUAGCAUGCAUGAGGUCCUGGGUUCAAUCCCCAGUACCUCCU
rnacentral:tRNA from 1 species